AUCAAUUAAAUCUUUUUCCUUUAUAAAUUACUCAGACUUGGAUAUUUCUUUAUUAACAGCAUGAGAAUGGUCUAAUACCAUAUUAUUUGCCUAGAGAUAACCAGGAUUUGUAUAAUUCCUAGCACUUUUCUGUUACUUCACCACCUCUUUUCCACUGAAGAAGGCAAACUGGAAUACACUUGACAGAGAGUAAUAUUACAGGACUAACUAAAUCAACUCUUAUUUAUUUAAAAGUACUUAUAAAUAGAUUUGGUAUUAGUUAUAAAUAGCUUGCAGCUCACCUUGUAAUAGAUCAUGACACAGAACUAUGUGUUGUUGACAGCAGUUAAGAACCAAUGUUGAAGAUGAUCCAGCAACACUGUAAAAUGGCUUGAAGUAGGGAAAUUCUGAGUAUCGUGAGAAAGAACAACUAAUAAGCAUUGCAUUAUCUUUAGCAAACUUUAGGUCUGAACUAGGGUUUACAAUGAAAGUAAUAAAGGAAAUAAAGUCUAUAGACAUGACAAUUUACUGGACACUGGCAGUGAGGAAGUAAAAAGAACCCAGGAUGUGUCUGAGAUUUAAAACUAGGGUAUCUCAUGCUAAGAGGAAUAAGAAUUGCUUUGAAUAAGAAAAGGAAAAAAGUUGAAUUAAGUUCAGGCUGUGGAAAUGUGGUCUGCUUUCUCAGAAUCCCAUAUUUAGAUUUGUGAAUCAUGUAUGAAUGGAAUGGUUUUUCUAAGACACUUCAAAUACAAGGAAGCACUCCGCAUUCUACUUGUGAACCCUCAUUUAAUUCUUAAUUAUUCAAGUGUUUAUUUAAUCCACAAGAUUAUUAAUAAUUAAAUUUUCAUUUGCAUGGUAGCUAUGUAUUUUAAGAAUGAAUACCUGAUUUGAGAAGCGAAUACAUGGAGCUUUUGUAGCUCAUUUUAGAGGAUAAUGCUUCCAACUUUUUGUAAGCCUCUUGUUUAUUGAUUACACAUUUAUUAAGUAGGAAAUAUUGUUUCCUUAUGCAUUGUAUGAGGGUGCUUUUUAUAUUCUUGUAAAAUAUUAAAACA